rnacentral:misc_RNA from 1 species
AAAUGCGAUAAGUAAUGUGAAUUGCAGAAUUCAGUGAAUCAUCGAAUCUUUGAACGCACCUUGCGCUCCUUGGUAUUCCUUGGAGCAUGCCUGUCUGAGUAUCAUGAAAUCUUCAAAGUAAAUCUUUUGUUAACUCAAUUGGUUUCUACUUUGGUAUUGGAGGUCUUUGCAGCUUCACACCUGCUCCUCUUUGUUCAUUAGCUGGAUCUCAGUGUUAUGCUUGGUUCCACUCGGCGUGAUAAGUUAUCUAUCGCUGAGGACACUGUAAAAGGUGGCCAAGGUAAAUGCAGAUGAACCGCUUCUAAUAGUCCAUUGACUUGGACAAUACUUUUAUGAUCUGAUCUCAAAUCAGGUAUGACUACCCGCUGAACUUAAGC